GAGAACUAAAGUGUCGAGAAAAGGAAUGAAAACCGUCAUGUUGAGUUGAAACUUCUCCCUUAAUAUCCUGCAUGCAUUAAUAAAUGGUAGUUAAAUAGUGUGUGAAGCCAGGUGAAGUCGGCUGAGAGUUACUACUAAAUCUUUUGCUUGAUACUUACUAGUUCGUUGUACAAAGCCAACAUCUCUAGCAA
rnacentral:ncRNA from 1 species